rnacentral:piRNA from 1 species
UCCGCCCUAAUAAUCAACAUU